UACGUAGGGUGCAAGCGUUAAUCGGAGUUACUGGGCGUAAAGCGUGCGUAGACGGUUACAUAAGUCGGGUGUGAAAGCCCCGGGCUCAACCUGGGAAUUGCAUUCGAGACUGCGUAGCUAGGGUGCGGAAGAGGGAAGCGGAAUUUCCGGUGUAGCGGUGAAAUGCGUAGAUAUCGGAAGGAACCCCAGUUGCGAAAGCGGCUUCCUGGUCCAGCCCCGACGUUCAAGCACGAAAGCGUUGGGAGCAAACAGG
rnacentral:rRNA from 1 species